GCCGGGACAUGGGACAAGCUUUGCUAGUUCUCGAGUACCCGGAUAUCCGUUUUAAAAUAAAAAAAUUAAAGAAGUUAACCAGCCAGCCCAGCCCACUUACUAAGUAUACGGUAUACCCAGUAGUCCAGUACCCACCCUAUCUUCUUCUCUUUCUUUUUAUAUCCUCAUCCUACUAUUUCUCUCUCCUCUUCCCCCCUGUUACUCUCUUUCUCUCUCCUCGUGAUAAUGAAAUUUGUGAUGAUGGAAUUUCAAAGGAUAUUUAAUGUUUGAUAUUUUUAUGCUUCUUUUCGACGACGAUUUCCGUGGAUUUCUCGGCGAGGAAAUGGAGGAAUAACUCGGUUGCGCCGGAGACCCACAGCAACCCGCCACGAAGCAACCCAGAACAACCACGUCCUACCUCACUCCAACGUUUUUAAGAUCUAAAUAUAAUUUAGGUGUGGCUGGGCUGCUUUGGUGCGCGGUGGAAUCGGUGGCUUGUGGCUAUCGAUUGUUGGUGGUUGGUGGCUGCCUAGAAUUUGGACAUUAGCAAAGCGUUUCAUGUAUAUUUAUUUACUUAUUUUUACUUUGCAAUUUAUAAGUUGAAGCAGUUGGAUUUGGUUUGGUUGCAAUUGCAUGUGAUGAAAUUGGACUUUGAAAUAACAUUUUAUCUGCUAAAACCUCAUCAUGCAUGAACAGACAUCUUUCAAUUUUGAUCUUUAGCAUUCAACAUCCAAUCUUGUAUCCUGUUUAGAUUUAUCACAGUUUGAAGCCAUUGGUUGUAGCUCAAUAAAAUCCGGGUACCCGUGUCCCGUCCCGGAUAAUACCGGGUACCCGAAUUAUCCGGACGGGACACGGGCCGACUUAUCAACUAUCCGAAGAUUCGGGUACCCAAAUUUUCAGAUACCCGAAUCUGAACACCCCUACAUAGAGCGAGAUUUCGGGAGGCUCCAAAGUAAGAUUUUGAAGCCUGGUUAGAAGUUUUAAGUGCAUGUCCGAGCGAGCGAGGCCGCCUAGUGUCAUCGGGGGGAAUCUCUGACUAAGUCGACUUCCAUUUAGGUUGCCUUUUAUUUAUAGUCUUCCAUAUAAGUAGAUGUCGUGUUAACUUUGUAAUUUAUCUUUUUUUUUUUCCACACUACUUAGUUUAUUAUAAGCACAUUCGGGGUUUGAUUUCAAUAGUAAUUUUAGAGGGUUUUUUCAUUUUUAUUGUUUUUCAUUCAUUAUUAAAUGUCAAGUUGUAGUAUUUAUUGUAAUCACGUUUUCUAUCGUUUU